rnacentral:lncRNA from 1 species
GCGUUGUUCGGCCCUCGAAGCUCCGCCGCGCUCGCGGAUAUGAUAUCUCCCAGACCCGAGGACCGCGUCCUCGACUGCGCCCUCCUCGUCAGUAGGGUCCGGAGCAACGAGAAGGUCGUGGUGCUGUCAAACAGCGUCACGCUCAAGAUCAAAGCCAUGGCAGAGGUUAGUACGGUAACCACCCAAACCCAACCCUGCCUGCUUGCUGUGUGCGUUCGAACUGAACCUGGUUGUGUUGCGUUGCCCGCGGCGCAGGGCCUGCCAUGCGAGGGAGCCAAGGAGUUCCGCGAGUCCCUCGUGGACCCGUCCUCCAGGCGGUUCAUGUGGGCGGCCAGCGCCCCACGGGGGUC